CGAUCCUAGCUUGCUAGGAGGCGUCGAGCGGCGGACGGGUGAGUAAUGCAUANGAAUCUGCCCGGUAGUGGGGGAUAACCUGAGGAAACUCAGGCUAAUACCGCAUACGCCCUACGGGGGAAAGCAGGGGAUCUUCGGACCUUGCGCUAUCGGAUGAGCCUAUGUCGGAUUAGCUUGUUGGUGAGGUAAUGGCUCACCAAGGCAACGAUCCGUAUCUGGUCUGAGAGGAUGAUCAGCCANAUCGGGACUGAGACACGGCCCGAACUCCUACGGGAGGCAGCAGUGGGGAAUAUUGGACAAUGGGCGAAAGCCUGAUCCAGCCAUGCCGCGUGUGUGAAGAANGCCUUCGGGUUGUAAAGCACUUUCAGCGAGGAAGAACGCUUGUGGGCUAAUACCCCGNANGAAAGACAUUAUUUGCANAAGAAGCACCGGCUAACUCCGUGCCAGCAGCCGCGGUAAUACGGAGGGUGCGAGCGUUAAUCGGAAUUACUGGGCGUAAAGCGCGCGUAGGCGGGUUGAUAAGCCGGUUGUGAAAGCCCCGGGCUCAACCUGGGAACGGCAUCCGGAACUGUCAGGCUAGAGUGCAGGAGAGGAAGGUAGAAUUCCCGGUGUAGCGGUGAAAUGCGUAGAGAUCGGGAGGAAUACCAGUGGCGAAGGCGGCCUUCUGGACUGACACUAACGAUGAGGUGCGAAAGCGUGGGUAGCAAACAGGAUUAGAUACCCUGGUAGUCCACGCCGUAAACGAUGUCGACUAGCCGUUGGGGUCCUUGAGACCUUUGUGGCGCAGUUAACGCGAUAAGUCGACCGCCUGGGGAGUACGNCCGCAAGGUUAAAACUCAAAUGAAUUGACGGGGGCCCGCACAAGCGGUGGAGNAUGUGGUUUAAUUGGAUGCAACGAGAAGAACCUUACCUACCCUUGACAUCGUGCGAACUUUCCAGAGAUGGAUUGGUGCCUUCGGGAACGCACAGACAGGUGCUGCAUGGCUGUCGUCAGCUCGUGUUGUGAAAUGUUGGGUUAAGUCCCGUAACGAGCGCAACCCUUGUCCCUAUUUGCCAGCGAUUCGGUCGGGAACUCUAGGGAGACUGCCGGUGACAAACCGGAGGAAGGUGGGGACGACGUCAAGUCAUCAUGGCCCUUACGGGUAGGGCUACACACGUGCUACAAUGGUCGGUACAAUGGGUUGCAAAGCCGCGAGGUGGAGCUAAUCCCAUAAAGCCGGUCUCAGUCCGGAUCGGAGUCUGCAACUCGACUCCGUGAAGUCGGAAUCGCUAGUAAUCGUGAAUCAGAAUGUCACGGUGAAUACGUUCCCGGGCCUUGUACACACCGCCCGUCACACCAUGG
rnacentral:rRNA from 1 species